AUGCCUCCUCCCCAGCCCCGGCCACAACCUUGGCCCAACCCCAACAGAACCAGACGCAGACUCACCAUACCACGCAGCAGACAUUCCUGAACCCGGCGCUGCCUCCUGGCUACAGUUACACCAGCCUGCCAUACUAUACAGGGGUCCCGGGCCUCCCCAGCACCUUCCAGUAUGGGCCUGCUGUGUUCCCUGUGGCUCCUACCUCUUCCAAGCAGCAUGGUGUGAAUGUCAGUGUGAAUGCAUCGGCCACCCCUUUCCAACAGCCGAGUGGAUAUGGGUCUCAUGGAUACAACACUGGAAGAAAAUAUCCACCCCCUUACAAGCAUUUCUGGACGGCUGAGAGCUAAUUUGGCCCAAGGCUGGGGGCUGUGUUUUGUGUGUGUGUAUAAAUUUGCACUGAAGUCUUGUUUCAGAAACCAGACCACUGAGGAGAGCCUGCUGAGCUGAGGCCAUGGCCUGCGUGGCUUGGGGAAAUGAGUUGGUGGAUACCUUCUGGGCUUUUGAACUUGCCCCUCCCCCAUUUCCCUCUCCCCCAUGUGUCUGACCCUGUCUUACCCAUUUCAAGUUCAAGCGGUGCAGCACCUUCGAAGCAUCAAUGCACACACCUGCUGUUGCUUUUGAUUUCUGGAAGGCAUGUAGUUUCAACUUGUAACAAAAAUAUUUGUAGUCUUCAAUAAACUGUGGUAUUUCUUUAGCU
rnacentral:lncRNA from 1 species